rnacentral:lncRNA from 1 species
UGGUGAUGGUGAUGUGUUUGUAGAUCUUACUUCACUAAACAUUCUUGCUGCUUACAAUUAUCUCUAUCUAUAACAGUACUUUCUGUGGAAAAUGUUAUUGAAAAUCUUCAAAUUUUAAGAAAAUUGUUAAAAAUUGACUAUGAAGGGCAAUAACUCCUUAGGGGGUCAAUUGACUAUUUUGGUCAUAGUGACUUAUUUUUAGUUCUUAC